AUUCUAAACGACUGGGACUUGCCGGAAGUCAUUCUGCACUAAUAGCGGCAAAAAGCCUUCUGGUUCCUGGGGCGACGCGCCCGGCGGCCGUACUAUUCACUUCCCCAGAACGCCACAGCCCAGGCUUUCUUCUUAGUGGGCUUCCCAGACCAAGAAGGGAAACCUUUCAUCCGAAGGUACUGAGGGGAGGAAGGUGGCCUGAAGUUAUCUCAGUGCCGCUUUGUUUCCCACCCCAGUCGGUCAGCCCUUCCUCAGCGCCCUUUAACCCUUGCAGAUCGGAUGGAGAAAGCUGCCAGCACGUUCUAGGGAUGGGGGCAGAUUGAGGAGCGGGAGGGAGUAGUCUUUGUCUAACUUUAUACCAGUACCAAACUAUGUUAAUUUAAUGUAGUUUUAUAAUAAAUCUUUAAGUCCUGUAACUUAUUCUCCCAAGAUUGUUUUGGCUUAUUCUACGGCCUUUGUAUUUCUAGGUGAAUUUUGGAAUUAGCUUGUUAAAAAGGGGGGGGAUUUUUUAUUGGGCUCGCAUUGAAUCUAUAGAUCUGUUUGGGAAAACUAGUAUCUUAACAACAAGUCCUUCAAUCCAUGAAUAUCAUUCUUCCCCCACCAUUUAUUUAAGCGGUCUUUAAUUUCUCCUGGCAAUAUUUUGUAGAUUGCACAUAUAUCUAUAUUUUAAUGCAGCUGUGCUUGGAUAGAUUGCAGUAUAGAGAUCAUAUAUAUCUUUCAUUAGAUUUAUUCUUGAGUAUUUAGUGUUUUGUAUACAAUGUUAAAUGGCAUUUUGACUUUUUUAUAUUCUACUCGUAAGAAUAAACAAUAUUGAUUUUAACAUACUGACCUUAUAUGCAAGCAUCUUGCUAAGUUCCCUUGUUAUUUGUAAUACUCUGUAGAUUCUUUCGGAAUUUCUGUGAUCAAAAUCUUGCAAUCCACGAAUAAAGAUGGUUUAACUUCUCUGUAACCUUUAUACCUUUUAUUUUUAUUUAUUUUUGCCUUUUGUUGCUGGCUAGUGUUUCCACUAUUGAAUAAAAACAGUGAUAAUGGA
ensembl:lncRNA SUGT1-DT SUGT1 divergent transcript